GUCUCUAUGGCUCAGUCGGUAGAGCGUUGGUCUCAUAUUCCAUCAAUAUGACCCUGCCUUCAGGUCGGGAUAUCCAAAGGUCGCAAGUUCGAGCCUUGCUAGGGACA
rnacentral:tRNA from 3 species